rnacentral:lncRNA from 1 species
UUUGUGAGCUGUAACACCGUGAAGGUCUGCAGCUUCACUCCUGAAGUCAGGCGAGAAGACUACGAACCCACCUGGAGGAACGAACAACUCCAGACUCGCCGCAUUAAGAGCGGUAACACCGCGAAGGUCUGCAGCUUCACUCCUGAGCCAGCGAGAUCACGAACCCACCGGAAGGCUGUAACAUAUCUGAACAUCAGAAGGAACAAACUCCGGACAGGCCGCCUUCAGGAACUGUAACACUCACCGCGAGGGUCCGUAGCUUCAUUCUUGAAGUCAGUGAGACCAAGAGCCCACCAAUUCCGGACACAACAGGACACACUGCGGCUUCUCCUGGCUUUUUCAAAGUUCAGCCCAAGAGGAAGAGAGACCUAAUUAAUACCCAGGAGAUGGUGGUGUUUAUUUUUUCCAGCUGGGACAACUAAGGCCCCGAGAGGAGAAAGGGACUAUCCGGGGUACAGAGGCCACUGAGUCAGAGCUAGGACCAACAUAUCACCAGCUCUCCCUCUUCAGCGCAGACCCCAACUCACCAGCGGUGGCUUCCUGAAGAGCUGGGUUAAGGAGGAUUCUGAGGUGCAGCAGAGCUCGCUAAGAGGCUGACGGGUAAGGGGUGCUGCGCUGUGAGCACAGGAGCCAGACAGUCCUACAGUUCAACUCCAACAUCAGGGACUGAGUC